GGGCUCUGGAGGCAAGAGUGCAGCCCUUGUGUGAACAACACCCAGAACUGGAACCUCUCUGCACUGGACUAUGGUGGAGCCGACUGGAGGAGGGUAGGAACACCUACAUUGACGGUUAUUGGAAGUUGAAUUUCCACCAGAAGUUAAGAUGGGAUGACGGAUUCCAAGAAGAGUGACCAGAUUUACCCCCAAACGAUGGGGCCUGCAUGUACCUCUCUCUUUAGCUUCACAAAAGAUGGCAUUUGGAGCUCACAACUGGCCAGCUGUUGAGGCUGCCGUGAUGACAUGCUGGAGUUUUUGAGUUUGCACUGGUGGCUAUUGCCUCAGUCAGUUUUAUUUAACCUGUUGCCCUGGCAUUGACUCAAGACAGCUUGUGGAUGAAAGUACUCAUGUGACCGGUGGCGGAGAGCUCCUCAGGGGAUGAUAACAAUCUGGUAACGACGUUCUUAAUUUGCAGAGCCAAGCUGAAUGCACAUGAAGGCACAUCUCCUGGCCUUGAUGUGUUUGCCCAGA
ensembl:lncRNA